rnacentral:ncRNA from 2 species
AAUAAAAAUAUUGAAUAUGGUGCAUAUUCUUGCAUAAUAGGGAAUCUAGUGAAAGUCUAGAACUGUCCUCGCAACUGUAAGUGAUAGCGAAAUAAGCAUAAACCACUGUAUGAAUAGUACAUACGGGAAGGGCUUAGAGUAGAAAAGUCACGAGUCAGUAGACCUGCCAUUUUCAAUUGUAUCAA